AAACCAGGUGAUCUACCCUUGGUCAGGUUGAAGUUCAGGUAACACUGAAUGGAGGACCGAACCGACUUACGUUGAAAAGUGAGCGGAUGAACUGAGGGUAGCGGAGAAAUUCCAAUCGAACCUGGAGAUAGCUGGUUCUCUCCGAAAUAGCUUUAGGGCUAGCCUCAAGUAAUGAUUAUUGGAGGUAGAGCACUGUUUGGACGAGGGGCCCCUCUCGGGUUACCGAAUUCAGACAAACUCCGAAUGCCAAUUAAUUUAACUUGGGAGUCAGAACAUGGGUGAUAAGGUCCGUGUUCGAAAGGGAAACAGCCCAGACCACCAGCUAAGGUCCCAAAAUAUAU
rnacentral:rRNA from 1 species